GGAGGAUUACCCAAGUCUGGCUGAAGGGAACGGUCUUGAAAACCGUCAGGUGGGUAAAACCACGCAAGAGUUCGAAUCUCUUAUCCUCCU
rfam:Lactobacillus ruminis ATCC 27782, complete genome.